rnacentral:rRNA from 1 species
UGGGGAAUUUUGGACAGUGGGCGAAAGCCUGAUCCAGCAAUGCCGCGUGUGUGAAGAAGGCCUUCGGGUUGUAAAGCACUUUUGUCCGGAAAGAAAUCCUUGGCUCUAAUACAGUCGGGGGAUGACGGUACCGGAAGAAUAAGCACCGGCUAACUACGUGCCAGCAGCCGCGGUAAUACGUAGGGUGCAAGCGUUAAUCGGAAUUACUGGGCGUAAAGCGUGCGCAGGCGGUUUGCUAAGACCGAUGUGAAAUCCCCCGGGCUCAACCUGGGAACUGCAUUGGUGACUGGCAGGCUAGAGUAUGGCAGAGGGGGGUAGAAUUCCACGUGUAGCAGUGAAAUGCGUAGAGAUGUGGAGGAAUACCGAUGGCGAAGGCAGCCCCCCUGGGCCAAUACUGACGCUCAUGCACGAAAGCGUGGGGAGCAAACAGGAUUAGAUACCCUGGUAGUCCACGCCCUAAACGAUGUCAACUAGUUGUUGGGGAUUCAUUUCCUUAGUAACGUA